rnacentral:rRNA from 1 species
GAUGAACGCUGGCGGCGUGCUUAACACAUGCAAGUCGAACGGAAAGGCCCAAGCUUGCUUGGGUACUCGAGUGGCGAACGGGUGAGUAACACGUGGGUGAUCUGCCCUGCACUUCGGGAUAAGCCUGGGAAACUGGGUCUAAUACCGGAUAGGACGAUGGUUUGGAUGCCAUUGUGGAAAGUUUUUUCGGUGUGGGAUGAGCUCGCGGCCUAUCAGCUUGUUGGUGGGGUAAUGGCCUACCAAGGCGUCGACGGGUAGCCGGCCUGAGAGGGUGUACGGCCAGAUUGGGACUGAGAUACGGCCCAGACUCCUACGGGAGGCAGCAAUGGGGAAUAUUGCACAAUGGGCGCAAGCCUGAGGCAGCGACGCCGCGUGGGGGAUGACGGCCUUCGGGUUGUAAACUCCUUUCGCUAGGGACGAAGCGUUUUUGUGACGGUACCUGGAGAAGAAGCACCGGCUAACUACGUG